GUAGGUGUAGUUUAAUAAAAGCAUUAGAUUGUGAUUCUAAAGAUAGAGGUUAAACCCCCCUCACCCACC
rnacentral:tRNA from 1 species